rnacentral:rRNA from 1 species
GUGGGGAAUCUUGCGCAAUGGGCGAAAGCCUGACGCAGCCAUGCCGCGUGAAUGAUGAAGGUCUUAGGAUUGUAAAAUUCUUUCACCGGGGACGAUAAUGACGGUACCCGGAGAAGAAGCCCCGGCUAACUUCGUGCCAGCAGCCGCGGUAAUACGAAGGGGGCUAGCGUUGCUCGGAAUUACUGGGCGUAAAGGGCGCGUAGGCGGACAGUUUAGUCAGAGGUGAAAGCCCAGGGCUCAACCUUGGAAUUGCCUUUGAUACUGGCUGUCUUGAGUACGGGAGAGGUGAGUGGAACUCCGAGUGUAGAGGUGAAAUUCGUAGAUAUUCGGAAGAACACCAGUGGCGAAGGCGACACACUGGCUCAUUACUGACGCUGAGGCGCGAAAGCGUGGGGAGCAAACAGGAUUAGAUACCCCGGUAGUCC